rnacentral:rRNA from 1 species
UGGGGAAUAUUGCACAAUGGGCGCAAGCCUGAUGCAGCCAUGCCGCGUGUGUGAAGAAGGCCUUCGGGUUGUAAAGCACUUUCAGCGAGGAGGAAGGUGGUGAACUUAAUACGUUCAUCAAUUGACGUUACUCGCAGAAGAAGCACCGGCUAACUCCGUGCCAGCAGCCGCGGUAAUACGGAGGGUGCAAGCGUUAAUCGGAAUUACUGGGCGUAAAGCGCACGCAGGCGGUUUGUUAAGUCAGAUGUGAAAUCCCCGGGCUCAACCUGGGAACUGCAUUUGAAACUGGCAAGCUAGAAGUCUCGUAGAGGGGGGUAGAAUUCCAGGUGGUAGCGGUGAAAUGCGUAGAGAUCUGGAGGAAUACCGGUGGCGAAGGCGGCCCCCUGGACGAAGACUGACGCUCAGGUGCGAAAAGCGUGGGGAGCAAACAGGAUUAGAUAACCCUGGUAGUCCACGCUGUAAACGAUGUCGAUUUGGAGGUUGUGCCCUUGAGGCGUGGCUUCCGGAGCUAACGCGUUAAAUCGACCGCCUGGGGAGUACGGCCGCAAGGUUAAAACUU